rnacentral:lncRNA from 1 species
GAACUUAUAAAGAUCGAUCUCGGCUAUGAGCUGGAGAGAGAAGUCAUGACCGGCGGCUUUUCUGCAUAGAUAUUCAACCAUCAACUCUUCGUCCGUCGGGUAAAACCGGAAGCCCGGUGGUAAACUUAGUUGGGCCAACGGGUCGAGUUCUUGGAUACCCAUUCUCUUUUCUUUAUAUUCUCUCGGACAAAUAAAGUAUCUACACCUUUCUGAUACGGCGUUGAACUUUCUUGUUUUUUGUUUUGUUUUGUGUAUUUUUCACAUUCAAGAUUUUGAAACUCUGCUACUCGGGAGUGCAUAUCUUUAUAUAUAAAGUAGAGUUAUCUCUCUCCUGGACGCGCCACCUCAGCAGCCAGCUCAAAAAGUCAAGCUCUGUGAACGUGACACCUGUCCCAACCUGGGUUUAAAAUAGCGCUUCAAGCCUUGAGGCGGUGAGGAAGGUCAAGCUCGCCUCAAAGCUAUAGCGUCGCUUCAGACCGCCUCACCAACUUAAGGCGUAGCCUGAAAAAAUACACAUAGGAUUAGUGGUUAGUCAUAGAAUGAUUCAGGUUCUUCCAUUCUUUGUCAUUAUCCUAAAUCAUUAAAAUUAAAAAUUAAUAAGUAUUCAUAAACAGAGCAUAAAACAGAGAAUUGAUCCAAUAAAGUCUUCAAAAAAAGAGAAUCAAACCAACAAAUCCUUAAAAGAAACUAAACAUAAACCUAAGUCUUCAUAGAUUUAGAAACAAAAGAUUUAUAGAACCAGAAAAAAAAAUGAAUAUAGACUUGGAUAAGAUUCACGCUUGAAAAUAUCUAUUCAAAAAUGUAAAGACACUAAAUAGUUUGAAGUGAAUUGAAGUUUUGAAACCAUAAAAAGAAAGUGAAUAUUAUAUGUUAAUAACUUGUGAUAGGAAUCUUACCUUUAGUUGCAUAAGCGAUGAAGCGUGAUGAGGCGUGAGGCGUGAAAGGCGACUUGAGGCGAGGUUGAAGCAACGCUUACUCGAAUUCGCCUCGCUUCAUCUCCUCGAGGCGGUGACCCUCCCAACCAAGGUCGCCUCACGCCUUAGCGACGCCUUAGCACGCUUUUUUAAACCCAGGUCCCAACAUACAAAACUCACCGUUUCCAUGCGUUUUUAUUGCAUCCACUCUACUGUGUCUUUUAAAAAUGGGCUUCCACGAGACACUCUAAUAUGGAUAAUUCUCUCUGGGCCGCUAUCCAACCAAAUGCUAGGCCGUCUCUGAAAUUGCAUGUUGGUCCGGCGCUUUGACAGUAACUUCCAAGCCGUCUCUGUUCAUGUCGUUUCGGUCUCUGUUCUUCACCUCCAACAGUUACAAAUCGAAUUGAUUAUCAUUAAUGGCCUCUAAAACCACGAUCUUGCAUUCACUGAUUCUUAUUGUUCAUUCAGGCGGUCAUUCUCACCUAUAAAUAAGUAAGGAUUCAUCCCUUUAGCAUCAUCUUCAAAGUUAUCUCACAUCUCUCAGCACUUCCUCAACGAGCAUGAGCAUGACGUUAUUCCUCCACCUCAAAAUCAGAAGAUACAACAACUUUUUAUGAUUGAAGGAAGACAAACAAGGGCUACAAGGCUUUAGCAAAUUUUUGAGAUUUUAGAAAACGGCAAGAAGAGAAGGUUACAGAGGAUCUAGGUUUUGUGUAGAGAAGAAAAGCAUAACAGUGAGAAGAUAUUACAGAGAUGUAUGACGGCGAGCAUAGGAGAUGUUGUUUUGUGCGGCUGAGAAAGAAAAAGAUUCAAUACCGCAGACUAUAAUGUUUAAUCUAGGGUUUUUUUCUAUUUAAUGGUGGGUUAGUUUAAUUACAUAUUAGGUUUAUUAUUGUUCGAUGGACUUCUGUAACUUAGAUGGGCCAAGAAUACAUAUUUAAAUAGAUCCAAUGUAUAAAAACUUAAAAAGAUACAAAUUUGGUAAAAAAAAAUAUCAGGUUUCAACAAUAUAAAAGUUCAACGAUUGAUUUGAGACUAACGGUAAGAAGAGAAAAUACUUUUUACUAUUUAUCACCUAUUUUCUUUGAUAAAAUUUCUCCCACUUAGAUAUUUAUUUUUCUCUAAAAUUUGUAUUUGACAUCUAUACAUAUAGUCCAGCCAAAUCGUAAAAAAAGAGCAAAAUUUGAUACUUCACCAUUCUAAACUUAUAUUUUAUGUUGCACUAAAUCAUCAAAAAAGAGCAAAAUUUGAUACUUCACCAUUCUAAACUUAUAUUUUAUGUAAUAAUAUAUAUAUACAACAUCUUUUUUUAUAAGUCUAUAUACUAAAUAUUAAAAAUGAAUAUGAAUUUCUAUAAAAUUUAAAACAGUUUUCACCAGUUUUUUUUUUAAUUAAUUAUAUUAAUAUAUAAAUAAAUUCAAAAUAAAUAUAAAAUAUUGUAACCUUUAUUCAUUUAGAUAUAUAAAAAUUGAAAGUAAUAUAAAAGCCCAGCCGUGUUUUUUAGAUUAUUUAUAAUCACAAAAUAACAAGAUUUUAUAUAUAGAAAGAGAUGGAAGUUUGCUUCAACCAUGAAAAUGGUGAAGUGCAUUAUAUUGGAGGAAUCAAGCAAUAUUUUGCGUCGAACAAGCCCAACAAGGCCUAAAACAUCUCAAGCUCUCUGCCACCAACCAAUAUGCUAAAGGUAACUUUCUAUGUACCAUUCUUUUGAUGUGCAAAGGAGAACAAGAAAAAGACAUGAAAUAUAUAGAUCUUUAUAAGUGGCAAACCAACAAUCCAGAGCGGACAAGUGCUGGAGAUAAAUCAAACGAUGCUGUUCCUAUCAUGAGGAGGAAGUCUUAUAGUACAAAUAUAAUCCUCAUGAUACCACCAAGAAGUUGCAAGCUCAAUGAUCUUGAAAGUAGAUGCACUGAAUGUUUAUAUUUCAAGCAAAAUUGGAGAAGUUCUUGAAGAUAGUUUAUCAUGUAUAACCAUAGACACAUUUUCUUUUUACACUUUUCCACUUCAUUGUUUUAAAUUUUGAUUAGUUUUGCUAUGCUAAUCUCUUCACAGUCAGUGUCUCCAUUGCUUUUCAUAAAAAAAAAUCAAUUUCAGUUUGAACAAAAUUUUAUAAAUAAAUCAACUUAAUCGGGAUAUUGAAAAAAAUGAUUAUAAACAAACAGACAAAAACUAACACAAAAUAUACAUAAUUGUUACGAAAUGCAACUCUCUGCAGCCCAUGCCAUUCAUACAAAUAAUAAGCAUAAAAACUACAAGCUCAUUCUUCAGAUUCCAAAAUAUAGCAAAUCAAGUUUGACCAAUCAAUAAUUGAUUCAGCCUUAUAAAAACAUACAAUCAGAAGACCACGUAAACUUCAUCCAACCUAUAUAAUAUGAUAUAUUCCGCAACCUCUUAUUAUAGACACAACCAUCAAAAUCAAUAAUAAAUCUGAGUAUAUAUAAUUUUUCCACACCCAAACAUUCUUAAAAACAUAACGUUAUUAUUUAUACAUUAUUUUUGCAAAUGCUAACAUAAACACACACGCAAUGAAAAUAUAUAAUAAUAUAAUUAUAUAUAACACGUUUAAACCAUAUUCUGCGCGUAGCGCGGACCGACCCUAGCUAUUAUAUAAAGUAUCAAAAAGUCUUUUAGGGGGCCAGAAUCUUGAUAUAGUUGAAUCAUAGGUUGUUGUUCAAAAAAAAAAAUUGAAUCAUAGGUUAAAUAAAAUUUUAAUUUACUAAUCUAUAUAUAUAUAAAUAUGUUCGCCUCACUCCUGCUUUGCCACAUCAUAAAGCCGGUUCCUGACAGGUCAACACGUGUCCGGGUUGGAUGAUACUCACUGUUUCACUUAAUCACAUUUAUUAAUGUGCUUUUCUCUUUUUGUUAAUAAAUAUUUCAGAUCAGUGUUUUGGGCUUAACAUAAUUGGGUUUCUGGGCCGUAGAGUAACACAUGAGAGGGUCCCACAUGAGACGACUUCUUCUCCAAAAAUAAUGUCGACGAACGAAAGACAUAUCUGCUGCGUUUUAACAACUCCGGUUCAAACAUACGGCCAAUGAAGAUUUGCUGCACCGACCACGCUGAAUUCCGAUCAAGAUCAGUUGGAAGGCGUCGUAUUUGACUGUUCGAUUCUACUUCUUCUACCCUUGGUUGAAUUUUGGAACUGUUAUGGAAGUCGGUUGGAUUCAUGCAUCCUCAUUGACUAUCACAUUAAAUCAUUCAAUGAACCUCCUCAUUAAAACAUUUUAACUCAAAUAUAAAUAAUCUUUCGACACCCUAAAAUUCUCAAAACCAUAAACAUAUACUUCUCUUAACAAAACAUACAUACAAAGGGAAUAUACAAUUACAUCACAAAAAAAAAGAAGCAUGAAUUACUUUAGGAAUAACUUCAAGUUUUGAGUCAUAUUCGCAAAAAAAAACCUUAAAUAAGUUAGUUUAAUUAAGAAUAUUAUAAAACAAAACAUUUGAAUUAAAAUAAAUAUUAAAAAUAUAAUGUUAUUUAUCAGAGAAUAGUGAAAUUUACUGUCAUUAUAAUUCAAAACAAAAAAUAAUUAUAAUGAUCUCAUAAGUCUUUCAUUAUUUUUUCGUUUAUAAUAUUUUUUAAUCUAUCAUAAUUUUAAAUUACUUCAUAAAUUAUUAUAAAAUCACUUUUAUUAUAACUUCCCGCCCGUAGGGCGGGCCGGCCCUAGUGUAUAUAUAUAAUAUACGUAGAGAGAUUCAACACCGCCGCCUAAUCUUCGUUAACGUGCAGCCUCAAUAUGGGUCCCAUAUCUUUGGGUUUAUCAUGAAACGUGGAUCAAUUUGAGCGUCGUGAUUUAUGCCAUCCCAUGGGUUCGUUGAACCAGAAACCUAUCCAAGAAAGUUGAUUAUAUUUUUACGUAUUAGUAUUACUUUGACCAAAAAAAAUAAUACUAAUACUUUGUAUUACUGACAAUUUAAUUUAUUACUUUGUGUGUACGUGCGUGUGACUGUAGCCUUGAAUGGGUUUUACCGUUUUCCCAAGUGUUUUAUUUAUGUUCUGGAUCAAUAUUCAAUAUUCACACAUUCAAAAUCAAGAUUAGCUGAUUGUUUAAGACUUUAUUUUCCUGUAAUUUACGCGGUAUAUUUCUUUGACAAUAUACGAAAAGUACAAAGGAUUCUACUUCCUUUUUAAUGGGUGUGUGCCAAAUUAUUUUAUUUAGUCAAGAAGAAAAGACACGUGUAAGUGAAUGACGGGGUGCGAGUUCACGAGAUGGU